rnacentral:rRNA from 1 species
UGAUACUAAGCCAUGCGAGUCAUUGUAGCAAUACAAGGCAGACGGCUCAGUAACGCGUAGUCAACUACCCUAUGGACGGGAAUAACCUCGGGAAACUGAGUAUAAUGCCCGAUAGAACAUUAUGCCUGGAAGGGUUUAUGUUCCAAAUGAUUUAUCGCCGUAGGAUGGGACUGCGGCCUAUCAGUUUGUUGGUGAGGUAAUGGCCCACCAAGACUAUUACAGGUACGGGCUCUGAGAGGAGUAGCCCGGAGAUGGGUACUGAGACACGGACCCAGGCCCUAUGGGGCGCAGCAGGCGAGAAAACUUUGCAAUGUGCGAAAGCACGACAAGGUUAAUCCGAGUGGUUUCUGCUAAAGGAACCUUUUGUUAGUCCUAAAAACACUAACGAAUAAGGGGUGGGCAAGUUCUGGUGUCAGCCGCCGCGGUAAAACCAGCACCUCAAGUGGUCAGGAUGAUUAUUGGGCCUAAAGCAUCCGUAGCCUGCUCUGUAAGUUUUCGGUUAAAUCUGUAUGCUCAACAUACAGGCCGCCGGGAAUACUGCAGGGCUAGGGAGUGGGAGAGGUAGACGGUACUCGGGAGGAAGUGGUAAAAUGCUUUGAUCUCUCGAUGACCACCUGUGGCGAAGGCGGUCUACCAGAACACGUCCGACGGUGAGGGAUGAAAGCUGGGGGAGCAAACCGGAUUAGAUACCCGGGUAGUCCCAGCCGUAAACUAUGCAAACUCAGUGAUGCAUUGGCUUGUGGCCAAUGCAGUGUUGCAGGGAAGCCGUUAAGUUUGCCGCCUGGGAAGUACGUACGCAAGUAUGAAACUUAAAGGAAUUGGCGGGGGAGCACCACAAGGGGUGAAGCCUGCGGUUCAAU